CAGACUUGGCCAUGGGUAGGA
rnacentral:miRNA from 1 species